GCCUACGGGAGCAGCAGCCGCGGUAAUACGGAGGAUGCGAGCGUUAUCCGGAUUUAUUGGGUUUAAAGGGUGCGCAGGCGGAUUUUUAAGUCAGCGGUCAAAUCGUGGGGCUCAACCCCAUCCAGCCGUUGAAACUGGGGAUCUAGAGUGUGCGAGAGGUAUGCGGAAUGCGUGGUGUAGCGGUGAAAUGCAUAGAUAUCACGCAGAACCCCGAUUGCGAAGGCAGCAUACCGGUGCACAACUGACGCUCAGGCACGACAGCGUGGGUAUCGAACAGGAUUAGAUACCCGAGUAGUCCUCAUAAG
rnacentral:rRNA from 1 species